rnacentral:rRNA from 3 species
GUGAACCACCUGAUCCCUUCCCGAACUCAGAAGUGAAACCUCUUUGCGCUGAUGGUAGUGUGGGGUUACCCAUGUGAGAGUAAGUCAUCGCCAGCU